rnacentral:rRNA from 1 species
GAUGAACGCUGGCGGCGUGCCUAAUACAUGCAAGUCGAGCGAACGGACGAGAAGCUUGCUUCUCUGAUGUUAGCGGCGGACGGGUGAGUAACACGUGGAUAACCUACCUAUAAGACUGGGAUAACUUCGGGAAACCGUAGCUAAUACCGGAUAAUAUUUUGAACCGCAUGGUUCAAAAGUGAAAGACGGUCUUGCUGUCACUUAUAGAUGGAUCCGCGCUGCAUUAGCUAGUUGGUAAGGUAACGGCUUACCAAGGCAACGAUGCAUAGCCGACCUGAGAGGGUGAUCGGCCACACUGGAACUGAGACACGGUCCAGACUCCUACGGGAGGCAGCAGUAGGGAAUCUUCCGCAAUGGGCGAAAGCCUGACGGAGCAACGCCGCGUGAGUGAUGAAGGUCUUCGGAUCGUAAAACUCUGUUAUUAGGGAAGAACAUAUGUGUAAGUAACUGCGCACAUCUUGACGGUACCUAAUCAGAAAGCCACGGCUAACUAUGUG